GACGAACGCUGGCGGCGUGCUUAACACAUGCAAGUCGUACGGAAAGGCCCUGCUUUUGUGGGGUGCUCGAGUGGCGAACGGGUGAGUAACACGUGAGUAACCUGCCCUUGACUUUGGGAUAACUUCAGGAAACUGGGGCUAAUACCGGAUAGGAGCUCCUGCUGCAUGGUGGGGGUUGGAGAGUUUCGGCGGUUGGGGAUGGACUCGAGGCUUAUCAGCUUGUUGGUGGGGUAGUGGCGUACAAAGGCUUUGACGGGUAGCCGGCCUGAGAGGGUGACCGGCCACAUGGGGACUGAGAUACGGCCCAGACUCCUACGGGAGGCAGCAGUGGGGAAUAUUGCACAAUGGGCGGAAGCCUGAUGCAGCAACGCCGCGUGCGGGAUGACGGCCUUCGGGUUGUAAACCGCUUUCGCCUGUGACGAAGCGUGAGUGACGGUAAUGGGUAAAGAAGCACCGGCUAACUACGUG
rnacentral:rRNA from 1 species